rnacentral:rRNA from 1 species
GUACACACCGCCCGUCGCUACUUCCGAUCGAAUUGCUUAGUGAGGCCUCCGGAUUGGGGCAUUAGUCUCGAGAAGCUGGUCAAACUUGGUAAUUUAGAGGAAGUAARAGUCGUAACAAGGUUUCCGUAGGUGAACCUGCAGAAGGAUCA